GGUUCACGCGGAUGGAUGGCCUCAUGUGAUGCGGACUUUUAAUCCGUAGGUUCAGGGUUCGAGUCCCUGGCGGCCCACCA
rnacentral:tRNA from 1 species